GCUCCAUCUCAUGUGUGAUGGUUGCCCCAUUGGCGACACAUACACCUUUUACAUUUAGUUACACCGGAAUCACUAGCAGAAUAAGGGAUGGAUUAUUACACCUAGUUAAACAGGUGGCAUGUAACAUGGAUUGUUAGUUAUCUGUGAUGCAUUGCAUUGAAUUCCAUUAUAUUUCACUAUGGCUAGACAAUAAAGUGAUACUUAACAUGCAAGGUGCUUUUACUAUACCCCUCACUAUCCUAGAGUACAACACCAUUCCAAACGUCAAUACGAUCCGAGGUGUGGGAUAUGAGGACGAUUACUGUGAUAUUAAUAUGCCACCGAGAGGUAAAAAAAGUACUAAGGGCAUCUCCAACACCGACCCUCAAACUGCCCGCAACCAUCUAGAUCGCUCGGUCCAGACGUGUUUUGCCAUCCAACGCCGGCCUGUCUCGAUCCGGCGAGCGGUUCAAACCUGUUUUUUCGCAAAUCGGAGACAAAGUGUGUGUGUGGGGGGGGGGGGUGCGGGCAUCUGGACCGCUGCCACGUCCGCGUCUGGCAACUGGCCCACCCAAAAUGCUCCUCCCUCGCCCAUGUGCUUUCCCGCUCGACGCCUGCUGGCCGCAUUGACGCCGACCCAGAGUGGACGCGGCCUCAUACUGCCGGCAUUGAAGUGGUGCGGCGGUCGAGAGAGCACCGCCCGACUGAACACGCCUCCUCGCCGCAUUCAAAUGGCUAUAGACUGCCUGUCUGCCUCCAUCAAACCUCUGUGUAUGUCGAGAAACCUACUUCGGCCACACGUCCGUUCGCGAGCCAGUGGGCAUUAAACAUAACGUCGGUUGGCUCUUCGCGCCCGCCCACUAUUUAAACAAGGCCAGACGCCGGGCAAACACCGCACCACACCUCCGCUCCCCAUCUCCUCCUUGAACCAUAUUCUUCACACUCUUCAUGGCAACCGACGAGCAGGAAGAGGAGUUCUCCGGCAUAAAAGUUGGCUGGGUGGCCCGCCGAAUAUGAGCCAGGCAACUCGCUGCUCCACCUCCCUCACCACUCUAGGCCGUCAGUACCAUGGGCGAGGCUAUAGGCUAGCGCGCGGAGGAGCAAGUGGCUGCUACAAGUCAGCGUGUGGUUCAACAACUCGUCGCUCCAAGCCAGCUCGCAGAGGAGUGGCGAGUUGCUCAGGCCGGCACACGAAGGAGCAUGGUACCGCAUGCAUCAUGGCUGCCGUCAACAAAGUCGUGUUGUAUGGCUCCUCCCGCGCCACCCGCCGUCAAUGUUCGCGAAACUGCGCCCUGACGACGGAGAAAGAAGCCGGCUUCACGGAUAUCCAUGAGGUGGACAAUGAUGGCUCGUGUCCACGUCAGUUUUUCCCCGAAGAGGAAGGGAUGAUGCAACACAGCUACGGUAGGUAUUUCCCUCAAUGAUGAAACCAAGGUUAUCGAACCAGUAGGAGAACCAAACAACACUAUGUAAACGGUACCUGUACACAAAGAACAAAUACUUGCAACCCGACGCGUAAGAGGGGUUGUCAAUCCCUCAUGGGUAAAAAGAUAGAUUGAUUUGUAUGAUUUUGGAUAAAUAGAUCUCUCGAUAAAACAAAAUAAAUUAAAUAAAUAAAAAGCGCAGCAAGAUAUUUUUGGGUUUUUAGAAUAAUAGAUCUGAAAACAAAAGCAAAUAAAAAUAUAUCUCAAAGAAAAUAUGAUAAAUAAUAGACCCCGGGGCCGUAGAUUUCACUAGUGGCUUCACUCGAGAAAAAUAGCAUACGAUGGGUAAACAAAUUACUGUUGGGCAAUUGAUAGAACUUCAAAUAAUUAUGACGAUAUCCAGGCAAUGAUCAUUAUAUAGGCAUCACGUCCAAGAUUAGUAGACCAACUCCUGCCUGCAUCUACUACUAUUACUCCACACAUCGACCGCUAUCCAGCAUGCAUCUAGUGUAUUAAGUUCAUUGAGAAACGGAGUAAUGCAAUAAGAACGAUGACAUGUUGUAGACAAGACCUAUUCAUGUAGGAAUAGACCCCAUCUUGUUAUCCUUAAUGGCAACGAUCAAUACGUGUCUUGCUGCCCCUCCUUUCAAUGGGAAAGAACACUGCAAGAUCGAACCCAUCACAAAGCACCUCUUCCCAUGGCAAGAAAAAUCGAUCUAGUCGGCCUAACUAAACCAAAGAUUCUAAGAAGAAAUACAAGGCUAUAAGUAAUCAUGCAUAUAAGAGAUCAAAACUCAAAUAACUUUCAUGGAUAAAAUAUAUCUGAUCAUAAACUCAAAGUUCAUCGGGUCCCAACAAACACACCGCAAAAAGAGUUACAUCAAAUAGAUCUCCAAGAGACCAUUGUAUUGAAAAUCAAAAGAGAGAAGAAGCCAUCUAGCUACAAACUACAGACCCGUAGGUCUACAAUGAACUACUCACGCAUCAUUGGAGAGGCACCAAUUAGGAUGAUGAACCCCUCCGUGAUGGUGUCUAGAUUGGAUCUCGUGGUUCUGGAAUUUUCGGCGGCUGGAAUUGUGUUUCGUCGACUCCCCUGGGAUUUUUGGAUAUUUGGGAAUUCAUAGGACGAAGAGGCGGUGCGGGAGGCCACCGAGGUGGGCACAACCCACCAGGGCGCGCCUGGGCCCCCAGGCGCGCCCAGGUGGGUUGUGCCCCCCUCGGGGCACCCCUCUGGUACUUCUUUGCCCAUCUUGUGUCUUCCGGACUCCAAUACCCUUCGUCCAAUAUAUCGAUCUUCACCUCCGGACCAUUCCGGAGUUCCUCAUCAUGUCCGGGAUCUCAUCCGGGACUCCGAACAACCUUCGGUAACCACAUACUAUUUCCCAUAACAACUCUAGCGUCACCGGACCUUAAGUGUGUAGACCCUACGGGUUCGGGAACCAUGCAGGCAUGACCGAGACACCUCUCCGGCCAAUAACCAAUAGCGGGAUCUGGAUACCCAUAUUGGCUCCCACAUGUUCCACGAUGAUCUCAUCGGAUGAACCACGAUGUCGGGGAUUCAAUCAAUCCCGUAUACAAUUCCCUUUGUCUAUCGGUAUGUUACUUGCCCGAGAUUCGAUCGUCGGUAUCCCAAUACCUCGUUCAAUCUCGUUACCGGCAAGUCUCUUUACUCUUUCCGUAACGCAUGAUCCCGUGGCUAACUCCUUAGUCACAUUGAGCUCAUUAUGAUGAUGCAUUACCGAGUGGGCCCAGAGAUACCUCUCCGUCAUACGGAGUGACAAAUCCUAGUCUCGAUUCGUGCCAACCCAACAGACACUUUCGGAGAUACCUGUAGUGCACCUUUAUAGCCACCCAGUUACGUUGUGACGUUUGGUACACCCAAAGCAUUCCUACGGUAUCCAGGAGUUGCACAAUCUCAUGGUCUAAGGAAACGAUACUUGACAUUAGAAAAGCUCUUAGCAAAUGAACUACACGAUCUUGUGCUAUGCUUAGGAUUGGGUCUUGUCCAUCACAUCAUUCUCCUAAUGAUGUGAUCCCGUUAUCAAUGGCAUCCAAUGUCCAUGGUCAGGAAACCAUAACCAUCUAUUGAUCAACGAGCUAGUCAACUAGAGGCUUACUAGGGACAUGUUGUGGUCUAUGUAUUCCCACAUGUAUUACGGUUUCCAAUUAAUACAAUUAUAGCAUGAACAAUAGACAAUUAUCAUGAACAAGGAAAUACAAUAAUAACCAUUUUAUUAUUGCCUCUAGGGCAUAUUUCCAACAGUCUCGCACUUGCACUAGAGUCAGUAAUCUAGUUCACAUCACCAUGUGAUUAACAUUCAAAGUUCACAUCGCCAUGUGACUAAUACCCAAGAGUUUACUAGAGUCAAUAAUCUAGUUCACAUCACCAUGUGAUUAACACUCAAUGAGUUCUAGGGUUUGAUCAUGUUAUGCUUAUGAGAGAGGUUUUAGUCAACGGGUCUGCAACAUUCAGAUCCGUGUGUGCUUUACAAAUCUCUAUGUCAUCUUGUAGGCGCAGCUACCACGCGCUACUUGGAGCUAUUCCAAAUAACUGCUCUACUAUACGAAUCCGGUUUACUACUCAGAGUCAUCCCGAUUAGUGUCAAAGUUUGCAUCAACGUAACACUUUACGACGAACUCUUUUACCACCUCCAUAAUCGAGAAAAUUCCUUAGUCCACUAGUUACUAAGGGUAAGUUCGACCGUUGUCAUGUGAUCCAUUCCUGGAUCACCUUGUACCCCUUGACCGACUCAUGGCAAGGCACAAUUCAGGUGCGGUACACAGCAUAGCAUACUGUAGAGCCUACGUCUAAAGCAUAGGGGACGACCUUCGUCCUUUCUCUCUCUUCUGCCGUGGUCAGGUCUUGAGUCUUACUCAAUACUCACACCUUGUAACACAGCCAAGAACUCCUUCUUUGCUGAUCUAUUUUGAACUCCUUCAAAAUCUUGUCACGGUAUGUAUUCAUUUGAAAGUAUUAUUAAGCGUUUUUUAUCUAUCCUUAUAGAUCUUGAUGCUCAAUGUUCAAGUAGCUUAAUCCAGGUUUUUCAUUGAAAAACACUUUUCAAAUAACCCUGUAUGCUUUCCAAAAAUUCUACAUCAUUUCUGAUCAACAAUAUGUUAACAACAUAUACUCAUCAAAAAUCUAUAGUGCUCCCACUCACUUCUUUGGAAAUACAAGUUUCUCAUAAACUUUGUAUAAACCCAAAAUCUUUGAUCAUCUCAUCAAAGCGUACAUUCCAACUCCGAGAUGCUUACUCCAGUCCUUAGAAGGAUUGCUGGAGCUUUGCAUACUUGUUAGCAUCUUUCACGAUUGACAAAACCUUCUGGUUGUAUCACAUACAACCUUUCCUCAAGAAAAUCGUCGAGGAAACAAUGUUUUGACAUCCUAUCUGCAAGAUUUCAUAAAUAAUGCAGUAACUACUAAUAUAAUUCCAAUAGACUCUUAGCAUCGCUACGAGUGAGAAAGUCUCAUCGCAGUCAACUCCUUGAACUUGUCGGAAAACAUCUUAACGACAAGUCGAGCUUUCUUAAUGGUGACACUUACCAUCAUUGUCCGUCUUCCUUUUAAAAUCCAUCUGCACCCAACAGCCUUACGACCAUCAAGUAGUUCUUCCAAAUUCUAUACUUUGAUUUUAUACAUGGAUCCUCUCUCGGAUUUUAUGGCCUCGAGCCAUUCGUCGGAAUCUGGGCCCACCAUCGUUUCUCCAUAGCUCGUAGGUUCAUUGUUGUCUAGCAACAUGACAUCCAAGACAUGAUUACGUACCACUCUGAAGUAGUACGCAUCCUUGUCGUCCUACGAGGUUUUGUAGUGACUUGAUCCGAAGUUUCAUGAUCACUAUCAUAAGCUUCCACUUCAAUUGGUGUAGGUGCCACAGGAACAACUUCUUGUGCCCUGCUACACACUAGUUGAAGUGACGGUUCAAUAACCUCAUCAAGUCUCCACCAUCCUCCCACUCAAUUCUUUCGAGAGAAACUUUUCCUCGAGAAAGGACCCGUUUCUAGAAACAAUCACUUUGCUUCCGGAUCUGAAAUAGGAGGUAUACCCAACUGUUUUGGGUAUUCUAUGAAGAUGCAUUUAUCCGCUUUGGGUUCGAGCUUAUCAGCCUGAAACUUUUUCACAUAAGCGUCGCAGCCCCAAACUUUUAAGAAACGACAGCUUAGGUUUCUCUAAACCAUAGUUCAUACGGUGUCAUCUCAACGGAAUCGUGUGGUGCCCUAUUUAAAGUGAAUGUGGUUGUCUCUAAUGCCUAACCCAUAAAUGAUAGUGGUAAUUCGAUAAGAGACAUCAUGGUAUGCACUAUAUCCAAUAGGGUGCAGUUAUGGUGUUCAGACACACCAUCACACUAUGGUGUUCCAGGCGGUAUUAGUUGUGAAACAAUUUCCACAAUGUCUUAAUUGUGUACCAAACUCGUAACUCAGAUAUUCAUCUCUAUGAUCAUAUCACAGACAUUUUAUCCUCUUGUCACGACGAUCUUCAAUUUCACUCUGAAAUUACUUGAACCUUUCAAUAAUUCAGACUUGUGUUUCAUCAAGUAAAUAUACUCAACAUCUACUCAAAUCAUCUGUGAAGUAAGAACAUAACGAUAUCCACUGCGUGCCUCAGCACUCAUUGGACUGCACACAUCAAAAUGUAUUACUUCAACAAGUUGCUUUCUUGUUCCAUCUUACUGAAAACGAGGCCUUUCAGUCAUCUUGCCCAUGUGGUAUGAUUUGCAUGUCCCAAGUGAUUCAAAAUCAAGUGAGUCCAAACGAUCCAUCUGUAUGGAGUUUCUUCAUGCAUAUCUACCAAUAGACAUGGUUCGCAUGUCUCAAUCUUUUCAAAAACGAGUGAGUCCAAAGAUCCAUCAACAUGGAGCUUCUUCAUGCAUUUCAUACCAAUAUGACUCAAAUGGCAGUGCCACAAGUAUGUGGUACUAUCAUUAUAUUUUAUAUCUUUUGGCAUGAACAUGUGUAUCACUACGAUCGAGAUUCAAUAAACCAUUCAUUUUAGGUGCAAGACCAUUGAAGGUAUUAUUCAAAUAAAUAGAGUAACCAUUAUUCUCCUUAAAUGAAUAACCGUAUUGCGAUAAACAUAAUCCAAUCAUGUCUAUGCUCAACGCAAACACCAAAUAACAAUUAUUUAAGUUUAAUACCAAUCCCGAUGGUAGAGGGAGCGUACGAUGUUUGAUUACAUCAACCUUGGAAACACUUCCAACACAUAUCGUCAUAUCAUCUUUAGCUAGUCUCCGUUUAUUCCGUAGCCUUUUAUUUCGAGUUACCAACACUUAGCAACCGAACCGGUAUCUAAUACCCUGGUGCUACUAGGAGUACUACUAAAGUACACAUUAAUAUAAUGUAUAUCCAAUAUACUUCUGUCGACCUUGCCUGCCUUCUCAUCUACCAAGUAUCUAGGGUAGUUCUGCUUUAGUGACCGUUCCCCUCAUUACAGAAGAACUUAGUCUCGGGUUUGGGUUCAACCUUGGGUUUCUUCACUAGAGCAGCAACUGAUUUGCCGUUCCAUGAAGUAUCCCUUCUUUCCCUUGCCCUUCUUGAAACUAGUGGUUUUACUAACCAUCAACAAUUGAUGCUCCUACUUGAUUUCUACUUUCGCUGUGUCAAACAUCGCGAGUUGCUCAAGGAUCAUCAUGUCUAUCCCUGAUAUGUUAUAGUUCAUCACGAAGCUCUAAUAGCUUGGUGGCAGUGACUAUGGAGAACCAUCACUAUCUCAUCUGGAAGAUUAACUCCCACUCGAUUCAAGCGAUUGUAGUACUCAGACAAUCUGAGCACAUGCUCAACGAUUGAGCUUUUCUCCCUUAAUUUGCAGGCUUAAGAAACUUGUCAGAGGUCUCAUACCUCUUGACGUGGGCACUAGUCUGAAAUCCCAAUUUCAGUCUUUGGAACAUCUCAUAUGUUUUGCGACGUUUCAAAAAUGUCUUUGGCGCCUCAAUUCUAAACCGUUAGCAUUACGCACUGAACUAUCACGUAGUCAUCAAAACAUGUAUGUCAGAUGUUUCACAACAUCUACAGACGACGCUCGAGGUUCAGCACACCGAGCGGUGCAUUAAGGACAUAAGCCUUCUGCGUAGCAAUGAGGAUAAUCCUCAGUUGACGGACCCAGUCCGCAUAAUUUCUACUAUCAACUUUCAACUAAAUUUUCUCUAGGAACAUAUCUUAAACAGUAGAACUAAAGCGUAAGCUACGACAUAAUUUGCAAAGACCUUUUGACUAUGUUCAUGAUAAUUAAGUUCAUCUGAUUAUUUAAUGAACUCCCACUUAGAUAGACAUCCCUCUAGUCAUCUAAGUGAUACAUGAUCCGAAUCGACUAGACCGUGUCCGAUCAUCACGUGAGACGGACUAGUCAUCAACGGUGAACAUCUCCAUGUUGAUCGUAUCUACUAUACGACUCAUGUUCGACCUUUGGUCUCUUGUGUUCCGAGGCCAUGUCUGUACAUGCUAGGCUCGUCAAGUCAACCUAAGUGUUUUGCGUGUGUAAAUCUGGCUUACACCCGUUGUAUGCGAACGUUAGAAUCUAUCACACCCGAUCAUCACGUGGUGCUUCGAAACAACAAACCUUCGCAACGGUGCACAGUUAGGGGGAACACAUCUCUUGAAAUUUUAGUGAGGGAUCAUCUUAUUUAUGCUACCGUCGUUCUAAGCAAAUAAGAUGUAAACAUGACAAACAUCACAUGCAAAUCAUAAAGUGACAUGAUAUGGCCAAUAUCAUCUUGCGCCUUUUGAUCUCCAUCUUCGAGGCGCGGCAUGAUCACCUUCGUCACCGGCAUGACACCAUGAUCUCCAUCAUCAUGUCUUCAUGAAGUUGUCUCGCCAACUAUUACUUCUACUACUAUGGCUAACGGUUAGCAAUAAAGUAAAGUAAUUACAUGGCAUUUUUCAUUGACACGCAGGUCAUACAAUAAAUUAAGACAACUCCUAUGGCUCCUGCCGGUUGUCAUACUCAUCGACAUGCAAGUCGUGAUUCCUAUUACAAGAACAUGAUCAAUCUCAUACAUCACAUAUAUAUAAUUCAUCACAUCCUUUUGGCCAUAUCACAUCACAUAGCAUACCCUGCAAAAACAAGUUAGACGUCCUCUAAUUGUUGUUGCAUGUUUUACGUGGCUGCUAUGGGUUUCUAGCAAGAACGUUUCUUACCUACGCAAAAGCCACAACGGUGAUAUGCCAAUUGCUAUUUACCCUUCAUAAGGACCAUCUUCAUCGAAUCCGAUCCGACUAAAGUGGGAGAGACAGACACCCGCUAGCCACCUUAUGCAUCAAGUGCAUGUCAUUCGGUGGAACCUGUCUCACGUAAGAGUACGUGUAAGGUCGGUCCGGGCCGCUUCAUCCCACAAUGCCGCCGAAUCAAGAUAAGACUAGUAACGGUAAGCAAAUUGAACAAAUCAUCGCCCACAACUACUUUGUGUUCUACUCGUGCAUAGAAUCUACGCAUAGACCUAGCUCAUGAUGCCACUGUUGGGUAACGUAGCAAUAAUUCAAAAUUUUCCUACGUGUCACCAAGAUCAAUCUAGGAGAUGCUAGCAACGAGAGAUAGGGAGUGCAUCUUCAUACCCUUGAAGAUCGCUAAGCGGAAGCGUUACAAGAACACGGUUGAUGGAGUCGUACUCGCAGCGAUUCAAAUCGCGGAAGAUCCGAGCAAGCGCCGAACGGACGGCGCCUCCGCGUUCAACACACGUACAACCCGGGGACGUCUCCUCCUUCUUGAUCCAGCAAGGGGAGAGGAGAAGUUGAGGGAGAACUCCGGCAGCACGACGACAUGGUGGCAAUGGAGCUCGUGGUUCUCCAGCAGAGCUUCGCUAAGCACUACGGAGGAGGAGGAGGAGUUGGACGAGGAGAGGGCUGCGCCAGGCCAGGGGUGCAGCUGCCCUCUCUCUCCCUCACUAUAUAUAGGGGGAAGGGGGGUGGAGGAGGCGCCCUAGGGGAGGGGCGGCGGCCAAGGGGAAAACCCUAGAUGGGUUCUGGGCGCCCCCACCCCUAGGAGACUUGCCCCCCAAACCAGGAGGGGCGGCUGCCCUAGGGGAGGCGCCCCCAUCUCUCCUGGUUACGUGAGAGGGGUUGGGAGGGGCGCACAGCCCCUUAGUGGGCUGGUUUGCCCCUUCCCCUUGGCCCAUAAGGCCCCCCAACGCUUGCCGGGGCCUCCGAAACCCCUUUCGGACAUGCUGGCCAUAGCCUGGUACCCCCGGAACACUUCCGGACUCCAAUACCCUUCGUCCAAUAUAUCGAUCUUCACCUCCGGACCAUUCCGGAGUUCCUCGUCAUGUCCGGGAUCUCAUCCGGGACUCCGAACAACCUUCGGUAACCACAUACUAUUUCCCAUAACAACUCUAGCGUCACCGGACCUUAAGUGUGUAGACCCUACGGGUUCGGGAACCAUGCAGGCAUGACCGUGACACCUCCCCGGCCAAUAACCAAUAGCGGGAUCUGGAUACCCAUAUUGGCUCCCACAUGUUCCACGAUGAUCUCAUCGGAUGAACCACGAUGUCGGGGAUUCAAUCAAUCCCGUAUACAAUUCCCUUUGUCUAUCGGUAUGUUACUUGCCCGAGAUUCGAUCGUCGGUAUCCCAAUACCUCGUUCAAUCUCGUUACCGGCAAGUCUCUUUACUCGUUCCAUAACACAUGAUCCCGUGGCUAACUCCUUAGUCACAUUGAGCUCAUUAUGAUGAUGCAUUACCGAGUGGGCCCAGAGAUACCUCUCCGUCAUGCGGAGUGACAAAUCCCAGUCUCGAUUCGUGCCAACCCAACAGACACUUUCGGAGAUACCUGUAGUGCACCUUUAUAGCCACCCAGUUACGUUGUGAUGUUUGGUACACCCAAAGCAUUCCUACGGUAUCCGGGAGUUGCACAAUCUCAUGGUCUAAGGAAACGAUACUUGACAUUAGAAAAGCUCUUAGCAAACGAACUACACGAUCUUGUGCUAUGCUUAGGAUUGGGUCUUGUCCAUCACAUCAUUCUCCUAAUGAUGUGAUCCCGUUAUCAAUGACAUCCAAUGUCCAUGGUCAGGAAACCAUAACCAUCUAUUGAUCAACGAGCUAGUCAACUAGAGGCUUACUAGGGACAUGUUGUGGUCUAUGUAUUCACACAUGUAUUACGGUUUCCAGUUAAUACAAUUAUAGCAUGAACAAUAGACAAUUAUCAUGAACAAGGAAAUACAAUAAUAACCAUUUUAUUAUUGCCUCUAGGGCAUAUUUCCAACAAAAAGUGAGCACAACUAAGAAACCGGGGGCAUAAAAACAAAAUCCCUAAUAUAAAAUAGCAUAUUAAUGCAUAUAAAACAUCCAAAAUGGAUAAUAUAAUAGCAUGGAACAAUCAAAAAUUAUAGAUACGUUGGAGAGGUAUCACUCCACCCCGUCGCCGGUGUCGAACCCGGCCACUCCAGACCGCGCCACCGCCACCACUUCACGCGCGGCGUUGCCCGUGUGCGAACGCGCCUAUCAGUGCCUCCAGCCAUGCCCCGUAGUCGUUUUCCAGCGAGGCCGAGCCCUCUCCGCCAUAUUUUUGGGCGCCAGCGGCUGAACGCCGGCCACCACACCCACCCUGGGCCAUUGCCAAGUGGGGCCCGAAACCCCCCUCUAAUUAGCACUAACAUCAUUAGUAACUAACCCCUACCCUAAUAGGCACUGACGUGUGGGCCCCCUGUUAAUUAAACUGAAUUAAAUAAAUUCUAAUAACUAACAGACACUGACACGUGGGUCCCUAUGACCCUGUUGACUGGUCAACAUUGACCCAGUCAACGAUGACUGUACUGCUGACUGGGCACUGAUACGUCUCCGUCGUAUCUAUAAUUUUUCAUUGUUUCAUCCCAAUAUUAUACAACUUUCACAUACUUUUGACAACAUUUUAUAUGAUUUAUUUGGACUAACCUAUUGAUCCAGUUCCCAGUGUCAGUUCUUGUUUGUUGCAUGUUUUCUUUCGCAGAGAAUCCAUAUCAAACGAAGUCCAAGUGCAAUAAAAAUUUACGGUGAAUUAUUUUGGAAUAUUUGUGAAUUUUGGGAGGUGGAAUCAACGUAAACAGGGGCCCAUAGGCCCCAAGAUACACCAGGGCACGCCAGGGGGUGCCCGGCGUGCCCAGGUGUCUUAUGCCCUCCUCGUAAGGCGGUUGGGGCCCUUCUUCUGCCGCAAGAAAGAUAAUUUAUGGAAAAAAUCGUGUAAAAAUUUCAGCGCAAUCGGAGUUACGGAUCUCCGGGAAUUUAAGAAACGGUGAAGGGCCAGAUCUGGGGAACGCGAAACAGAAGAGAACAGAGAGGGAGAUCCAAUCUCGGAGGGGCUCCCGCCCCUCCGCCACCAUGGAGGCCAUGGACCAGAGGGGGAACUCUCCUCCCAUCUAGCGGGGGGAGGCCAAGGAAGAAGAAGAAGGAGGGGGGCUCUCUCCCGCUCUCUCCCGGUGGCGCCGGAGUGCCGCCGGGGCUAGGAUCGUGGCGGCGAUCUACAUCAACAAUCUUGCUACCGUCAACACCAACUCUCUCCCCCUCUAUGCAGCAAUGUAACACCUCUUCUCCCCGCUGUAAUCUCUACUUAAACAUGGUGCUCAACUCCAUAUAUUAUUUCACAAUGAUCUAUGGUUAUCCUAUGAUGUUUGAGUAGAUCCGUUUUGUCCUGUGGGUUAAUCGUGAUCUUGGUUGGUAUGAUUGUAUAUUUUGUUUAUGGUGCUGUCCCAUGGUGCCCUCCGUCUCGCGCAAACGUGAGGGGUCCCUGCUGUAGGGUGUUGCAAUAUGUUCAUGAUUUGCUUAUGGUGGGUCGCGAGAGUGACAGAAGCUUAAACCCGAGUAGGUAGGUUGUUGCGUAUGGGAUAAAGAGGACUUAAUACUUAAUGCUAUGGUUGGGUUUCACGACCUUAAUGAUCUUUAGUAGUUGCAAAUGCUUGCUAGGGGUCCAAUCAUAAGUGCAUAUGAUCCAAGUAGAGAAAGUAUGUUAGCCCAUGCCUCUCCCUCAUAUAAAAUUGCAAGAAUGAUUACCGGUACUUGUUAUGUUGAUUGCCUAGGGACAAAUGACUUCCUUAUUGACAAAAGCUAUCUCCUUUUAUUACGUUGCAAUUUAUUCAUGGUUUUAUUCUCGCAAAGUACUCGUUUUAUUCUUGCAAAAUAGUUUCAUACUUGUUCUAGGUAAAGCAAACGUGAAGUGUGCGUAGAGUUGUAUCGGUGCUCGAUAGAACUUGAGGGAAUAUUUGUUCUACAUUUAGCUCCUCGAUGGGUUCGACACUCUUAUUUAUCGAAGAAGGCUACAAACGAUCCACUAUACUUGUGGGUUGUCAGGCACAGACUAGCCCCACAUGCCAUUGACUGUGGCUGGAUCUGCCCUGUGUAAUAAAAGUAUUUUACUGUUUAAUUCGAAUUAAAUAAAUUCCAGAAAUUCCAGAAAAAUGUUUGAAACUUUGAAAAUUAAUAUAAAAUAAUCUAUAAUUCAGAUAAAAAUAAUUUAUAUAUGAAAAUUGCUCAGAAAAAUUCACCGAAUCAGAUUAUGCGAUCUGUUCAACUAUCACAUGUCCUAGCAUGCUGAACAUGGAACCGUCCCCAUCUUUUCAUCUAUCCGGAAAAUGCCAAACGCCGGGAAAACCCCUCCGGAUGUUUUCCCUCUCCGUUUGCAACGUGUAGUACCGCGUUAGAACACCCCUAGCGCUGCAAGUUGUCAUGUCAUUAGUACCAGUGACCCCUCACCUUGUCCCAGUUGCCCCCGCUUUAUCUCCGGUGACUUGAUCAACGUGAUUGACGUCCAAGGCCCGACACAUCACACCCCCUUAGUUGUACGACACUGCAGGGAUACUAUCGAGUGUCGAGGGUGAUGCGAAUGAAGUGACUUCAUCCAAACUGAUGUUAGUUGCAUAUGCUCAAACCACAUCAUAUCUCCAUGUCAUGAUCAUUGCUGUGUAUUGAUUGCAUCUCUGGUAUUGUUCUUCUCGAUACUAUGAUUUAGUUUUUGCUUAUUGAACGCAUUCUAAUUUGAAUACUAAAUUGUUUUAUCUUUCUUCUGGAUUAGUUAAGCUAUGGACGAUAGCGGCAGAGACCAUGAAGAGGGUAUCAUCUUCGACAUGAUACGCUCCUCACAAAACCAAGAGAAUGAACCAGAUGAUGGCUCACAAUUUCUGGACAACUCCGGUGAGGGACUUGAGGAAGAACCAAGAGACGAAGGGCAAACAAACAAUGAUGGCGAAGGAAAUGGUAUACAAUUAACAAAGUCCGGCGAGGUAUAUAUAUUAGGCCUCUGGUGACCAUUAUAUGUAUUAAUUGAUAUAUAUAUAUAUAUAAACAAAUCUUUGUUCUUUUAGCCCUCCGGAUCGAGCAAAUCUUCUAAAAGGGUACGAGGCUGGGCCAAAAAGUUGGGUGAUGGCAUAAAGUUCAACAUCGAUGAAGUCGCAGAAGAUGGCGAACCGAUUGCUCCUGAAAAGAAUACCCGUAAAUUAGUAAAUCAAUGCGGAUUCAUUGUUAGGGACAACAUCCCGAUCACCGUUCGAGAAUGGAAUAAGCCAAAGGAAGAUCGAUGAGUUAGUUAUGUCGACGAAAUAUAGAAAAAAUUGCUUUGGGAUACGCUCAUGUCACAUUUCAACCUACCAUCAUAGAUGGCCAAUGGUUGUAAGUCAAGCAGUUUGCUCUUAAGAAGAUGGCCACACAAUUCCAGAGCUAGAAGAAAAGAUUAUACAGUGACUACAUCAAGGCAGAAAGGAAGACUCCAGAAUUCACUUGAGCACUAGAGAAGGUAAAAGAUCACUGGGACGAAUUUGUGAAGUACAAGGAAUCAGAUGAAGCUCUAGAAAGGUCGAGAAAAAAAAUAAGAUAAAUGUUGCGAAAAAGGAGUAUUACCAUGUUCUGGGGACAGGUGGCUACAAGAGAGCCGUGCCUAAUUGGGAAGCAGCUUAGGCCAAGAUGCUUGCUGAAGGGGUCAUUCCAAAAACAGCGGAUUGGCCCGAGAGGUCCAAGAAUUGGUUUUAUACACAUGGGGGAAAGUUGGACCCAGCGACAUGGGAGAUUAUUGAAAAGGCAGAUCUUAAAACAGCCUCGGACGCUUUACUUGAAGAAAUAGAAGAUGCUCGAAAGGGGUUGUUCCAGCCCGAGAGAGAGAACGACGAGCUUACACGCGCCCUCAAGAAUCCUCAACACGUUGGACGAACACGAGGAAAAUGCGUUGUUCCAUGGGUUCAGGGGUUUUCAGAGUGGAACGACACUUAUAGAAGCCGUCGGAGAAAAAAGAAGUAGGAUGCAGACCGGCUUAAGAAGAUAGAAACAAAGAACGAGGAGUUGGAACGCAUGUUAAAGCGACAGUAGGAGCAGAUCAACGCAAUUAGCCAACAAAGGGCAUCUUCGCGGCAGGAGCAAGCAGAUCCAGCAUUGGAUAGUACCGUCCCAUUUAUGCUGAAAAGCAGCGUGGGUUCCAUGAGGGUCCGGGCCGAGAUGCACUGCUGGCUCGCUACCCCAUGGAUGAUAUCAAUGAGAGGACAAGUUGUGAGCUACACCAGAAAAUAAAGAACAUGUCCAUGAAGGUGGCGGUCGGCUUUGCUUUACCUAAUGGACCUGAAGCAACCAUCCAUGGUAAUCUGAUUCCAAUUGGCUAUGCUCGUGUCGAGGUGGAUGAAGUUCUGUCGGGAUAUGACUCACUAGAGCUUGACAUUCCUGGAGGUGAAGGGGAGCAGAUACUGGAAGAAGUCAUACGUGGUGUCAUUGCAUGGAGAAAGGAAUGCAUCAUGUUUCCAAAGUCGACGCUAAGGCCACCGACUCCUCCGAGUAGCAAUACACCUCUAAGUCCACCCCACCUCGAGAGGGAUCCCAGCGCGAAUCCGCCAUAUCAAUCUCCGCCGCGUCAGCCGACUGUUGGGAAACGUAGUAAUUCAAAAAAAUUCCUACGAUCACGCAAGAUCUAUCUAGGAGAUGCAUAGCAACGAGAGGGGAGAGUGUGUCCACGUACCCUCGUAGACCGAAAGCGGAAGCGUUUGGUAACGCGGUUGAUGUAGUCGAACGUCUUCACGAUCCAACUGAUCCCAAGUACCUGUUGGGAAUCGUAGCAUAAUUUAAAAUUUUCCUACGCUCACCAAGAUGCAUCUAUGGAGUAUACUAGCAACGAGGGGAAAGGAGUGCAUCUACAUACCCUUGUAGAUUGCGAGCGGAAGCGUUCCAAUGAACGUGGAUGACGGAGUCGUACUCGCCGUGAUCCAAAUCACCGAUGACCGAGUGCCGAACGGACGGCACCUCCGCGUUCAACACACGUACGGUGCAGCGACGUCUCCUCCUUCUUGAUCCAGCAAGGGGGAAGGAGAGGUUGAUGGAGAUCCAGCAGCACGACGGCGUGGUGGUGGAUGUAGCGGGUCUCGGCAGGGCUUCGCCGAGCUUCUACGAGACGGAGAGGUGUAGCAAGGGAGGAGGGAGGCGCCCAAGGCUGAGAUGUUGCUGCCCUCCCUCCCCCCUUUAUAUAGGCCCCCUUGGGAGGGGGGGCGCCGGCCAAACCCAUCUAGGGUGGGGGCGGCGGCCAAGGGGGUGCCUUGCCCCCCAAGGCAAGUGGGAAGCCCCCCCCCCCACCCUAGGGUUUGCAACCCUAGGCGCAUGGGGGAGGCCCAUGGGGGGGCGCCCAGCCCACUAGGGGCUGGUUCCCUUCCCACUUCAGCCCACGGGGCCCUCCGGGAUAGGUGGCCCCACCCGGUGGACCCCCGGGACCCUUCCGGUGGUCCCGGUACAAUACCGGUAACCCUCGAGACUUUCCCGGUGGCCGAAACUUGACUUCCUAUAUAUAAUUCUUCACCUCCGGACCAUUCCGGAACCUCUCGUGACGUCCGGGAUUUCAUCCGGGACUCCGAACAACUUUCGGGUUUCCGCAUACACAUAUCUCUACAACCCUAGCGUCACCGAACCUUAAGUGUGUAGACCCUACGGGUUCGGGAGACAUGCAGUCAUGACCGAGACGCCUCUCCGGUCAAUAACCAACAGCGGGAUCUGGAUACCCAUGUUGGCUCCCACAUGUUCCACGAUGAUCUCAUCGGAUGAACCACGGUGUCGAGGAUUCAAUCAAUCCCGGAUGCAAUUCCCUUUGUAAAUCGGUAUGUUACUUGCCCGAGAUUCGAUCGUCGGUAUCCCAAUACCUUGUUCAAUCUCGUUACCGGCAAGUCUCUUUACUCGUACCGUAAUGCAUGAUCCCGUGACUAACGCCUUAGUCACAUUGAGCUCAUUAUGAUGAUGCAUUACCGAGUGGGCCCAGAGAUACCUCUCCGUCACACGGAGUGACAAAUCCCAGUCUCGAUCCGUGCCAACCCAACAGACACUUUCGGAGAUACCCGUAGUGCACCUUUAUAGUCACCCAGUUAUGUUGUGACGUUUGGCACACCCAAAGCACUCCUACGGUAUCCGGGAGUUGCACGAUCUCAUGGUCUAAGGAAAAGAUACUUGACAUUGGAAAAGCUCUAGCAAACGAAACUACACGAUCUUUUAUGCUAUGCUUAGGAUUGGGUCUUGUCCAUCACAUCAUUCUCCUAAUGAUGUGAUCCCGUUAUCAACGACAUCCAAUGUCCAUAGUCAGGAAACCAUGACUAUCUGUUGAUCAACGAGCUAGUCAACUAGAGGCUUACUAGGGACACGUUGUGGUCUAUGUAUUCACACAUGUAUUACGAUUUCCGGAUAAUACAAUUAUAGCAUGAACGAUAGACAAUUAUCAUGAACAAAGAAAUAUAAUAAUAACCAGUUAUUAUUGCCUCUAGGGCAUAUUUCCAAUAGUCUCCCACUUGCACUAGAGUCAAUAAUCUAGUUACAUUGUGAUGAAUCGAACACCCAUUGCGUCCUGGUGUUGAUCAUGUUUUGCUCUAGGGAGAGGUUUAGUCAACGGAUCUGCUACAUUCAGGUCCGUAUGUACUUUACAAAUAUCUAUGUCUCCAUUUUGAACACUUUCACGAAUGGAGUUGAAGCGACGCUUGAUAUGCCUGGUCUUCCUGUGAAACCUGGGCUCCUUCGCAAGGGCAAUAGCUCCAGUGUUGUCACAGAAGAGAGUCAUUGGGCCCGACGCAUUGGGAAUCACCCCUAGGUCGGUAAUGAACUCCUUCAUCCAGACUGCUUCCUGUGCUGCCUCCGAGGCUGCCAUGUACUCCGCUUCACAUGUAGAUCCGGCCACGACGCUUUGCUUGCAACUGCACCAGCUUACUGCUCCUCCAUUCAAAAUAUACACGUAUCCGGUUUGUGACUUCGAGUCAUCCAGAUCUGUGUCGAAGCUAGCGUCGACGUAACCCUUUACGACGAGCUCUUCGUCACCUCCAUAAACGAGAAACAUAUCCUUAGUCCUCUUCAGGUACUUUAGGAUAUUCUUGACCGCUGUCCAGUGUUCCAUGUCGGGAUUACUUUGGUAUCUUCCUACCAAACUUACGGCAAGGUUUACAUCAGGUCUGGUACACAGCAUGGCAUACAUAAUAGACCCUAUGGCCGAGGCAUAGGGGAUGACACUCAUCUUUUCUAUAUCUUCUGCCGUGGUCGGGCAUUGAGCCGUGCUCAACGGCACACCUUGCAAUACAAGCAAGAACCCCUUCUUGGACUGAUCCAUAUUGAACUUCUUCAAUAUCUUGUCAAGGUAUGUACUCUGUGAAAGACCAAUGAGGCGUCUUGAUCUAUCUCUAUAGAUCUUGAUGCCUAAUAUAUAAGCAGCUUCUCCAAGGUCCUUCAUUGAAAAACACUUAUUCAAAUAGGCCUUUAUACUUUCCAAGAAUUCUAUAUCAUUUCCCAUCAAUAAUAUGUCAUCCACAUAUAAUAUGAGAAAUGCUACAGAGCUCCCACUCACUUUCUUGUAAACACAGGCUUCUCCAUAAGUCUGUGUAAACCCAAACGCUUUGAUCAUCUCAUCAAAGCGAAUGUUCCAACUCCGAGAUGCUUGCACCAGCCCAUAGAUUGAGCGCUGGAGCUUGCAUACUUUGUUAGCAUUCUUAGGAUUGACAAAACCUUCCGGCUGCAUCAUAUACAACUCUUCCUUAAGGAAGCCAUUAAGGAAUGCCGUUUUGACGUCCAUCCGCCAUAUCUCAUAAUCAUAGUAUGCGGCAAUUGCUAACAUGAUUCGGACGGACUUCAGUUUCGCUACGGGUGAGAAAGUCUCAUCGUAGUCAACCCCUUGAACUUGUCGAUAACCCUUAGCGACAAGUCGAGCCUUAUAGAUGGUCACAUUACCAUGCGCGUCCGUCUUCUUCUUAAAGAUCCAUUUGUUUUCUAUGGCUUGCCGAUCAUCGGGCAAGUCAGUCAAAGUCCAUACUUCGUUUUCAUACAUGGAUCCUAUCUCGGAUUUCAUGGCUUCUAGCCAUUUGUCGGAAUCCGGGCCCGCCAUCGCUUCUUCAUAGUUCGAAGGUUCACCGUUGUCUAACAACAUGAUUUCCAGGACAGGGUUGCCGUACCACUCUGGUGCGGAAUGUGUCCUUGUGGACCUACGAAGUUCAGUAGUAACUUGAUCCGAAGCUUCAUGAUCAUCAUCAUUAACUUCCUCCCCAGUCGGUGCAGGCACCACAGGAAUAUUUUCCCGCGCUGCGCUACUUUCCGGCACGGAAGGGGUGACUAUCACCUCAUCAAGUUCCACCUUUCUCCCACUCAAUUCUUUCGAGAGAAACUCCUUCUCCAGAAAGGACCCGUUCUUGGCAACGAAGAUCUUGCCUUCGGAUCUGAGGUAGAAGGUAUACCCAAUGGUUUCCUUAGGGUGUCCUAUGAAGACGCAUUUCUCCGACUUGGGUUCGAGCUUUUCAGGUUGAAGUUUCUUGACAUAAGCAUCGCAUCCCCAAACUUUUAGAAACGACAGCUUAGGUUUCUUCCCAAACCAUAAUUCAUACGGUGUCGUCUCAACGGAUUUCGACGGAGCCCUAUUUAAAGUGAAUGCGGCAGUCUCUAAAGCAUAGCCCCAAAAUGAGAGCGGUAAAUCGGUAAGAGACAUCAUAGAUCGCACCAUAUCCAAUAGAGUGCGAUUACGACGUUCGGACACACCAUUUCUCUGAGGUGUUCCAGGCGGCGUGAGUUGUGAAACUAUUCCACAUUUCCUUAAGUGUGUACCAAAUUCGUGACUUAAAUAUUCUCCACCACGAUCUGAUCGUAAGAAUUUUAUUUUCCUGUCACGCUGAUUCUCAACUUCACUCUGAAAUUCCUUGAACUUUUCAAAGGUUUCAGACUUGUGUUUCAUUAGGUAGACAUACCCAUAUCUACUUAAAUCAUCAGUGAGAGUGAGAACAUAACGAUAUCCUCCGCGAGCCUCAACACUCAUUGGACCACACACAUCGGUAUGUAUGAUUUCCAAUAAGUUGGUUGCUCGCUCCAUUGUUCCGGAGAACGGAGUCUUGGUCAUCUUACCCAUGAGGCAUGGUUCGCACGUGUCAAAUGAUUCGUAAUCAAGAGACUCCAAAAGUCCAUCUGCAUGGAGCUUCUUCAUGCGCUUGACACCAAUGUGACCAAGGCGGCAGUGCCACAAGUAUGUGGGACUAUCGUUAUCAACUUUACAUCUUUCGGUAUUCACACUAUGAACAUGUGUAACAUCACGUUCGAGAUUCAUCAAAAAUAAACCAUUGACCAGCGGGGCAUGACCAUAAAACAUAUCUCUCAAAUAAAUAGAACAACCAUUAUUCUCGGAUUUAAAUGAGUAGCCAUCUCGAAUUAAACAAGAUCCAGAUACAAUGUUCAUGCUCAAAGCUGGCACUAAAUAACAAUUGUUAAGGUUUAAAACUAAUCCCGUGGGUAGAUGCAGAGGUAGCGUGCCGACGGCGAUCACAUCAACCUUGGAACCAUUCCCGACGCGCAUCGUCACCUCGUCCUUCGCCAGUCUCCAUUUAUUCCGUAGUUCCUGUUUUGAGUUACAAAUAUGAGCAACCGCACCGGUAUCAAAUACCCAGGAGCUACUACGAGUACUGGUAAGGUACACAUCAAUUACAUGUAUAUCACAUAUACCUUUGGUGUUGCCGGCCUUCUUCUUGUCCGCUAAGUAUUUGGGGCAGUUCCGCUUCCAGUGACCACUUCCCUUGCAAUAAAAGCACUCAGUCUCGGGCUUGGGUCCAAUCUUUGACUUCUUCCCAGUAACUGGUUUACCGGGCGCGGCAACUCCCUUGCCGUCCUUCUUGAAGUUCUUCUUACCCUUGCCCUUCUUGAACUUAGUGGUUUUAUUCAGCAUCAACACUUGAUGUUCUUUUCUGAUCUCUACCUCAGCUGAUUUCAGCAUUGAAUAUACCUCAGGAAUGGUCUUUUCCAUCCCCUGCAUAUUGAAGUUCAUCACAAAGCUCUUGUAGCUUGGUGGAAGCGACUGGAGGAUUCUGUCAAUGACCGCGUCAUCCGGGAGAUUAACUCCCAGCUGAGACAAGCGGUUAUGCAACCCAGACAUUCUGAGUAUGUGCUCACUAACAGAACUGUUCUCCUCCAUUUUACAGCUGAAGAACUUGUCGGAGACAUCAUAUCUCUCGACCCGGGCAUGAGCUUGGAAAACCAAUUUCAGCUCCUCGAACAUCUCAUAUGCUCCAUGUUUCUCAAAACGCUUUUGGAGACCCGGUUCUAGGCUGUAAAGCAUGCCGCACUGAAUGAGGGAGUAAUCAUCAGCACGCUGCUGCCAAGCAUUCAUAACGUCUUGGAUUUGUGGGAUUGGUGCUUCACCUAGCGGUGCUUCUAGGACAUAAUCUUUCUUGGCUACUAUGAGGAUGAUCCUCAGGUUCCGGACCCAGUCCGUAUAGUUGCUGCCAUCAUCUUUCAGCUUGGUUUUCUCUAGGAACGCGUUGAAAUUGAGGACAACGUUGGCCAUUUGAUCUACAAGACAUAGUGUAAAGAUUUUAGACUAAGUUCAUGAUAAUUAAGUUCAUCUAAUCAAAUUAUUUAAUGAACUCCCACUCAGAUAGACAUCCCUCUAGUCAUCUAAGUGAAACAUGAUCCGAGUUUAACUAGGCCGUGUCCGAUCAUCACAUGAGACGGACUAGUCAAGAUCGGUGAACAUCUCCAUGUUGAUCGUAUCUACUAUACGACUCAUGCUCGACCUUUCGGUCCUCCGUGUUCCGAGGCCAUGUCUGUACAUGCUAGGCUCGUCAAGUCAACCUAAGUGUAUUGCGUGUGUUCCGAGGCCAUGUCUGUACAUGCUAGGCUCGUCAACACCCGUUGUAUUCGAACGUUAGAAUCUAUCACACCCGAUCAUCACGUGGUGCUUCGAAACAACGAACCUUCGCAACGGUGCACAGUUAGGGUGAACACUUUCUUGAAAUUAUUAUAAGGGAUCAUCUUACUUACUACCGUCGUUCUAAGCAAAUAAGAUGCAAAAACAUGAUAAACAUCACAUGCAAUCAAAUAGUGACAUGAUAUGGCCAAUAUCAUCAUGCUCCUUUGAUCUCCAUCUUCGGGGCACCAUGAUCAUCUUCGUCACCGGCAUGACACCAUGAUCUCCAUCAUUGUGUCUUCAUGAAGUCGUCAUGCCAACGAUUACUUCUACUUCUAUGGCUAACGCGUUUAGCAACAAAGUAAAGUAAUUUACAUGGCGUUAUUCAAUGACACGCAGGUCAUGCAAAAUAAUAAAGACAACUCCUAUGGCUCCUGCCGGUUGUCAUACUCAUCGACAUGCAAGUCGUGAUUCCUAUUACAAGAAUAUGAUCAAUCUCAUACAUCACAUAUAUCAUUCAUCACAUCUUCUGGCCAUAUCACAUCACAUAGCACUUGCUGCAAAAACAAGUUAGACGUCCUCUAAUUGUUGUUGCAAGUUUUUACGUGGUUUGUAGGUUUCUAGCAAGAACGUUUCUUACCUACGUAUGACCACAACGUGAUUUGCCAAUUUCUAUUUACCCUUCAUAAGGACCCUUUUCAUCGAAUCCGUUCCGACUAAAGUAGGAGAGACAGACACCCGCUAGCCACCUUAUGCAACUUGUGCAUGUCAGUCAGUGGAACCAGUCUCACGUAAGCGUACGUGUAAGGUCGGUCCGGGCCGCUUCAUCCUACAAUGCCGCCGAAACAAGAAACGACUAGUAGCGGCAAGAAGAAUUGGCAAACUCAACGCCCACAACUGCUUUGUGUUCUACUCGUGCAUAGUAACUACGCAUAGGCCUGGCUCAUGAUGCCACUGUUGGGAAUCGUAGCAUAAUUUUAAAAUUUUCCUACGUUCACCAAGAUGCAUCUAUGGAGUGUACUAGCAACGAGGGGAAGGGAGUGCAUCUACGUACCCUUGUAGAUCGCGAGCGGAAGCGUUCCAAUGAACGUGGAUGACGGAGUCGUACUCGCCGUGAUCCAAAUCACCGAUGACCGAGUGCCGAACGGACGGCACCUCCGCGUUCAACACACGUACGGUGCAGCGACGUCUCCUCCUUCUUGAUCCAGCAAGGGGGAAGGAGAGGUUGAUGGAGAUCCAGCAGCACGACGGCGUGGUGGUGGAUGUAGCGGGUCUCGUGCAGGGCUUUGCCGAGCUACUACGAGAGAGAGAGAGGUGUUGCAGGGGAGGAGGGAGGCGCCCAAGGCUGUUCUGUGCUGCCCUUCCUCCCCCCCCUUUAUAUAGGCCCCCUGGGGGGGCGCCGGCCCCUGGAGAUCAGAUCCAUGGGGGUGGGCGGCGGCCAAGUGGCGGGGGAGGGGUGCCUUGCCCCCCAAGGCAAGGGGGAACUCCCCCCUAGGGUUCCCAACCCUAGGCGCAUGGGGGGAGGCCCAAGGGGGGCGCCCCAGCCCACUAGGGGCUGGUUCCCUUCCACUUUCAGCCCACGGGGCCCUCCGGGACAGGUGGCCCCACCCGGUGGACCCCCGGGACCCUUCCGGUGGUCCCGGUACAAUACCGAUAACCCCCGAAACUUUCCCGGUGGCCGAAACUGGACUUCCUAUAUAUAAUUCUUCACCUCCGGACCAUUCCGGAACCUCUCGUGACGUCCGGGAUCUCAUCCGGGACUCCGAACAACUUUCGGGUUUCCGCAUACAUAUAUCUCUACAACCCUAGCGUCACCGGACCUUAAGUGUGUAGACCCUACGGGUUCGGGAGACAUGCAGACAUGACCGAGACGCCUCUUCGGUCAAUAACCAACAGCGGGAUCUGGAUACCCAUGUUGGCUCCCACAUGUUCCACGAUGAUAUCAUCGGGUGAACCACGGUGUCGAGGAUUCAAUCAAUCCGUAUGCAAUUCCCUUUGUCAAUCGGUAUGUUACUUGCCCGAGAUUCGAUCGUCGGUAUCCCAAUACCUUGUUCAAUCUCGUUACCGGCAAGUCUCUUUACUCGUACCGCAAUGCAUGAUCCCGUGACUAACGCCUUAGUCACAUUGAGCUCAUUAUGAUGAUGCAUUACCGAGUGGGCCCAGAGAUACCUCUCCGUUUACACGGAGUGACAAAUCCCAGUCUCGAUCCGUGCCAACCCAACAGACACUUUCGGAGAUACCCGUAAUGCACCUUUAUAGUCACCCAGUUACGUUGUGACGUUUGGCACACCCAAAGCACUCCUACGGUAUCCGGGAGUUGCACGAUCUCAUGGUCCAAGGAAAAGAUACUUGACAUUGGAAAAGCUCUAGCAAACGAAACUACACGAUCUUUUAUGCUAUGCUUAGGAUUGGGUCUUGUCCAUCACAUCAUUCUCCUAAUGAUGUGAUCCCGUUAUCAAUGACAUCCUAUGUCCAUAGUCAGGAAACCAUGACUAUCUGUUGAUCAACGAGCUAGUCAACUAGAGGCUUACUAGGGACAGGUUGUGGUCUAUGUAUUCACACAUGUAUUACGAUUUCCGGACAAUACAAUUAUAGCAUGAAUAAAAGACUAUUAUCAUGAACACAGAAAUAUAAUAAUAACCAUUUAUUAUUGCCUCUAGGGCAUAUUUCCAACAUUUCGGUCCUCCGUGUUCCGAGGCCAUGUCUGUACAUGCUAGGCUCGUCAAGUCAACCUAAGUGUAUUGCGUGUGUUCCGAGGCCAUGUCUGUACAUGCUAGGCUCGUCAACACCCGUUGUAUUCGAACGUUAGAAUCUAUCACACCCGAUCAUCACGUGGUGCUUCGAAACAACGAACCUUCGCAACGGUGCACAGUUAGGGUGAACACUUUCUUGAAAUUAUUAUAAGGGAUCAUCUUACUUACUACCGUCGUUCUAAGCAAAUAAGAUGCAAAAACAUGAUAAACAUCACAUGCAAUCAAAUAGUGACAUGAUAUGGCCAAUAUCAUCAUGCUCCUUUGAUCUCCAUCUUCGGGGCACCAUGAUCAUCUUCGUCACCGGCAUGACACCAUGAUCUCCAUCAUCAUGAUCUCCAUCAUUGUGUCUUCAUGAAGUCGUCACGCCAACGAUUACUUCUACUUGUAUGGCUAACGCGUUUAGCAACAAAGUAAAGUAAAUUACAUGGCGUUAUUCAAUGACACGCAGGUCAUACAAAAUAAUAAAGACAACUCCUAUGGCUCCUGCCGGUUGUCAUACUCAUCGACAUGCAAGUCGUGAUUCCUAUUACAAGAAUAUGAUCAAUCUCAUACAUCACAUAUAUCAUUCAUCACAUCUUCUGGCCAUAUCACAUCACAUAGCACUUGCUGCAAAAACAAGUUAGACGUCCUCUAAUUGUUGUUGCAAGUUUUUACGUGGUUUGUAGGUUUCUAGCAAGAACGUUUUCUUACCUACGUAUGACCACAACGUGAUUUGCCAAUUUCUAUUUACCCUUCAUAAGGACCCUUUUCAUCGAAUCCGUUCCGACUAAAGUAGGAGAGACAGACACCCGCUAGCCACCUUAUGCAACUAGUGCAUGUCAAUCGGUGGACCCUGUCUCACGUAAGCGUACGUGUAAGGUCGGUCCGGGCCGCUUCAUCCUACAAUGCCGCCGAAACAAGAAAAGACUAGUAGCGGCAAGAAGAAUUGGCAAACUCAACGCCCACAACUGCUUUGUGUUCUACUCGUGCAUAGUAACUACGCAUAGGCCUGGCUCAUGAUGCCAUUGUUGGGAAUCGUAGCAUAAUUUAAAAUUUUCCUACGCUCACCAAGAUGCAUCUAUGGAGUAUACUAGCAACGAGGGGAAAGGAGUGCAUCUACAUACCCUUGUAGAUCGCGAGCGGAAGCGUUCCAAUGAACGUGGAUGACGGAGCCGUACUCGCCGUGAUCCAAAUCACCGAUGACCGAGUGCCGAACGGACGGCACCUCCGCGUUCAACACACGUACGGUGCAGCGACGUCUCCUCCUUCUUGAUCCAGCAAGGGGGGAGGAGAGGUUGAUGGAGAUCCAGCAGCACGACGGCGUGGUGGUGGAUGUAGCGGGUCUCGGCAGGGCUUCGCCGAGCUUCUGCGAGACGGAGAGGUGUAGCAAGGGAGGAGGGAGGCGCCCAAGGCUGAGAUGUUGCUGCCCUCCCUCCCCCCCUUUAUAUAGGCCCCCUUGGGAGGGGGGGGGCGCCGGCCAAACCCAUCUAGGGUGGGGGCGGCGGCCAAGGGGGUGCCUUGCCCCCCAAGGCAAGUGGGAAGCCCCCCACCCUAGGGUUUGCAACCCUAGGCGCAUGGGGGGAGGCCCAUGGGGGGCGCCCAGCCCACUAGGGGCUGGUUCCCUUCCCAGUUCAGCCCACGGGGCCCUCCGGGAUAGGUGGCCCCACCCGGUGGACCCCCGGGAUCCUUCCGGUGGUCCCAGUACAAUACCGGUAACCCCCGAGACUUUCCCGGUGGCCGAAACUUGACUUCCUAUAUAUAAUUCUUCACCUCCGGACCAUUCUGGAACCUCUCGUGACGUCCGGGAUCUCAUCCGGGACUCCGAACAACUUUCGGGUUUCCGCAUACACAUAUCUCUACAACCCUAGCGUCACCGAACCUUAAGUGUGUAGACCCUACGGGUUCGGGAGACAUGCAGUCAUGACCGAGACGCCUCUCCGGUCAAUAACCAACAGCGUGAUCUGGAUACCCAUGUUGGCUCCCACAUGUUCCACGAUGAUCUCAUCGGAUGAACCACGGUGUCGAGGAUUCAAUCAAUCCCGUAUGCAAUUCCCUUUGUCAAUCGGUAUGUUACUUGCCCGAGAUUCGAUCGUCGGUAUCCCAAUACCUUGUUCAAUCUCGUUACCGGCAAGUCUCUUUACUCGUACCGUAAUGCAUGAUCCCGUGACUAACGCCUUAGUCACAUUGAGCUCAUUAUGAUGAUGCAUUACCGAGUGGGCCCAGAGAUACCUCUCCGUCACACGGAGUGACAAAUCCCAGUCUCGAUCCGUGCCAACCCAACAGACACUUUCGGAGAUACCCGUAGUGCACCUUUAUAGUCACCCAGUUACGUUGUGACGUUUGGCACACCCAAAGCACUCCUACGGUAUCCGGGAGUUGCACGAUCUCAUGGUCUAAGGAAAAGAUACUUGACAUUGGAAAAGCUCUAGCAAACGAAACUACACGAUCUUUUAUGCUAUGCUUAGGAUUGGGUCUUGUCCAUCACAUCAUUCUCCUAAUGAUGUGAUCCCGUUAUCAACGACAUCCAAUGUCCAUAGUCAGGAAACCAUGACUAUCUGUUGAUCAACGAGCUAGUCAACUAGAGGCUUACUAGGGACACGUUGUGGUCUAUGUAUUCACACAUGUAUUACGAUUUUCGGAUAAUACAAUUAUAGCAUGAACGAUAGACAAUUAUCAUGAACAAAGAAAUAUAAUAAUAACCAUUUAUUAUUGCCUCUAGGGCAUAUUUCCAACAGUACCGAACGUACGGCACCUCCGUGUUCAGCACACGUUUAGCACGAUGACGUCCCUCGAGCUCUUGAUCCAGUUGAGGACGAGGGAGAUUUUCGUCGGCAUGACGGCGUGGCGACGGUGAUGACAAGUUACCGGUACAGGGCUUUGCCUAAGCACUACGACGAUAUUACCGAGGUGUUAAACUGUUUAGGGGGGCACCGCACACGGCUAAGAGAUUGUCUGUUGUAAUUUGGGGUGCCCCCUUGCCACGUAUAUAAAGGAGGGAGGGAGAGAGGCCGACGGCCAGGAGGGGCGCGCCAAGGGGGGAGUCCUACUUGGACUCCUAGUCCAAGUAGGAUCCCCCCCCUUUUCCUUUCUUCCACCAGAGGGAAAGGAAGGAGGGGAGAAGGAGAAGGAAGGAGGGGGCCACGCCCUCACCGCUAUCGGUUUGGGCAGGGGGGAGGCGCGCGCCACCUCGUGGCCCUUCUUCCCUCUCUCCACUAAAGCCCACUAAGGCCCAUUAACUUCCCCAGGGGUUCCGGUAACCCCUCGGUACUCCGGAAAAAUGCCCGGAUCACUCGGAACCAUUCCGAUGUCUGAAUAUGACCUUCCAAUAUAUGAAUCUUUACCUCUCAACCGUUCGAGACUCCCUGUCAUGUCCGUGAUCUCAUCCGGGACUCCGAACAAACUUCGGUCAUUAAAUCACAUAACUCAUAAUACAAAUCGUCAUUGAACGUUAAGCGUGCGGACCCUACGGGUUCGAGAACUAUGUAGACAUGACCGAGACACAUCUCCGGUCAAUAACCAAUAGCGGAACCUAGAUGCUCAUAUUGGCUCCUACAUAUUCUAUGAAGAUCUUUAUCGGUUAAACCGCAUAACAACAUACGUUGUUCCCUUUGUCAUCGGUAUGUUACUUUCCCGAGAUUCGACCGUCGGUAUCAUCAUACCUAGUUCAAUCUCGUUACCAGCAUGUCUCUUUACUCAUUCCGUAAUGCAUCAUCCUGUAACUUCCUCAUUAGUCACAUUGCUUGCAAGGCUUAUAGUGAUGUGCAUUACCGAGAGGGCCCAGAGAUACCUCUCCGAUACACUGAGUAACAAAUCCUAAUCAUGAUCUAUGCCAACCCAACAAACACCUUUGGAAACAUUUGUAGAGCAUAUUUAUAAUCACCCAGUUAUGUUGUGACGUUUGAUAGCACACAAGGUGUUCCUCCAGUAUUCGGGAGUUGCAUAAUCUCAUAGUCAGAGGAACAUGCAUAAGUCAUGAAGAAAGCAAUAGCAAUAAAACUAAACGAUCAUUAUGCCAAGCUAACGGAUGGGUCUUGUCCAUCACAUCAUUCUCUAAUGAUGUGAUCACGUUCAUCAAAUGACAACACAUUUCUAUGGUUAGGAAACUUAACCAUCUUUGAUUAACGAGCUAGUCUAGUAGAGGCAUACUAGGGACACUCUGUUUUGUCUAUGUAUUCACACAUGUACUAAGUUUUCGGUUAAUACAAUUCUAGCAUGAAUAAUAAACAUUUAUCAUGAUAUAAGGAAAUAUAAAUAACAACUUUAUUAUUGCCUCUAGGGAAUAUUUCCUUCAGUCUCGCACUUGCACUAGAGUCAAUAAUCUAGAUUACAUAGUAACGAUUCUAACACCCAUGGAGUCUUGGUGUUGAUCAUGUUUUGCUCGUGGAAGAGGCUUAGUCAACGGGUCUGCAACAUUCAGAUCCGUAUGUAUUUUGCAAAUCUCUAUGUCUCCCUCCUUGACUAGAUCGCGGAUGGAAUUGAAGCGUCUCUUGAUGUGUUUGGUUCUCUUGUGAAAUCUGGAUUCCUUCACCAAGGAAAUUGCUCUAGUAUUGUCACAAAAGAUUUUCAUUGGACCUGAUGCACUAGGUAUUACACCUACAUCGGAUAUGAACUCCUACAUCCAGACUCCUUCAUUUGCUGCUUCCAAAGCAGCUAUGUACUCCGCUUCACACGUAGAUCCCGCCACGACGCUCUGCAUGGAACUGCACCAACUAACAGCUCCACCAUUCAAUAUAAAUACGUAUCCGGUUUGCGACUUAGAGUCAUCCGGAUCAGAGUCAAAGCUUGCAUCGACGUAACCAUUUACGACGAGCUCUUUGUCACCUCCAUAAACGAGAAACAUAUCCUUAGUCCUUUUCAGAUAUUUUAGGAUGUUCUUGACUGCUGUCUAGUGAUCCACUCCUGGAUUACUUUGGUACCACCCUGCUAUACUUAUAGCAAGGCACACAUCAGGUCUGGUACACAACAUUGCAUACAUGAUAGAACCUAUGGCUGAGGCAUAGGGAAUGACUUUCAUUUGCUCUCUAUCUUCUGCAGUGGUCGGGCAUUGAGUCUGACUCAACUUCACACCUUGUAACACAGGCAAGAACCCUUUCUUUGACUGAUCCAUUUUGAACUUCUUCAAAACCUUAUUAAGGUAUGUGCUUUGUGAAAGUCCAAUUAAGCGUCUUGAUCUAUCUCUAUAGAUCUUGAUGCCCAAUAUAUAAGCAUCUUCACCGAGGUCUUUCAUUGAAAAAUUCUUAUUCAAGUAUUCUUUUAUGCUAUCCAAAAAUUAUGUAUCAUUUCCAAUAAACAAUAUGUCAUCUACAUAUAAUAUUAGAAAUGCUACAGAGCUCCCACUCACUUUCUUGUAAAUACAGGCUUCUCCAAAAGUCUGUAUAAAACCAUAUGCUUUGAUAACACUGUCAAAGCAUAUAUUCCAACUCCGAGAGGCUUGCACCAGUCCAUAAAUGGAUCGCUGGAGCUUGCACACUUGGUUAGCACCUUUAGGAUCGACAAAAAUUUUUGGUUAAGAUAUCCAUUAAGGAAUGCAGUUUUGACAUCCAUUUGCCAAAUUUCAUAAUCAUAAAAUGCGGCAAUUGCUAACAUGAUUCGGAUAGACUUAAGCAUCGGUACGGGUGAGAAUGUCUCAUCGUAGUCAACUCCUUGAACUUGUUGAAAACCUUUCGCAACAAGUCGAGCUUUGUAGAUAGUAACAUUACCGUCAGCGUCAAUCUUUUUCUUGAAGAUCCAUUUAUUCUCUAUGGCUUGCCUAUCAUCGGGCAAGUCAACCAAAGUCCACACUUUGUUCUCAUACAUGGAUCCCAUCUCAGAUUUCAUGGCCUCAAGCCAUUUUGCAGAAUAUGGGCUCAUCAUCGCUUCCUCAUAGUUCGUAGGUUCAUCAUGGUCUAGUAACAUGACUUCCAGAACAGGAUUACCGUACCACUCUGGUGCGGAUCGUACUCUGGUUGACCUACGAGGUUCGGUAGUAACUUGAUCUGAAGUUUCAUGAUCAUCAUCAUUAGCUUCCUCACUGAUUGGUGUAGUAAUCACUGGAACUGAUUUCUGUGAUGAACUACUUUCCAAUUCGGGAGAAGGUACAAUUACCUCAUCAAGUUCUACUUUCCUCCCACUCACUUCUUUCGAGAGAAACUCCUUCUCUAGAAAGGAUUCAUUCUUAGCAACGAAUAUCUUGCCUUCGGAUCUGUGAUAGAAGGUGUACCCAACAGUCUCCUUUGGGUAUCCUAUGAAGACACAUUUCUCCGAUUUGGGUUCGAGCUUAUCAGGUUGAAGCUUUUUCACAUAAGCAUCGCGGCCCCAAACUUUAAGAAACGACAACUUGGGUUUCUUGCCAAGCCACAGUUCAUAUGGUGUUUUCUCAACGGAUUUAGAUGGUGCCCUAUUUAACGUGAAUGCAACCGUCUCUAAAGCAUAACCCUAAAACGAUAGCGGUAAAUCAGUAAGAGACAUCAUAGAUCGCACCAUAUCUAAUAAAGUACGGUUACGACGUUCGGACACACCAUUACGCUGUGGUGUUCCAGGUGGCGUGAGUUGCGAAACUAUUCCACAUUGUUUCAAAUGAAGACCAAACUCAUAACUCAAAUAUUCACCUCCACAAUCAGAUCGUAGAAACUCUAUUUUCUUGUUACGAUGAUUUUCCACUUCACUCUGAAAUUCUUUAAACUUUUCAAAUGAUUCAGACUUAUGUUUCAUUAAGUAGAUAUACCCAUAUCUUCUCAAAUCAUCUGUGAAGGUCAGAAAAUAACGAUACCCGCCGCGAGCCUCGAUACUCAUCGAACCACAUACAUCAGUAUGUAUUAUUUCCAAUAAGUCAGUUGCUCGCUCCAUUGUUCCGGAGAACGGAGUCUUAGUCAUCUUGCCCAUGAGGCAUGGUUCGCAAGUAUCAAGUGAUUCAUAAUCAAGUGAUUCCAAAAGCCCAUCAGCAUGGAGUUUCUUCAUGCGCUUUACACCAAUAUGACCUAAACGGCAGUGCCACAAAUAAGUUGCAAUCAUUAUUAACUUUGCAUCUUUUUGCUUCAAUAUUAUGAAUAUGUGUAUCACUACAAUCGAGAUUCAACAAAAAUAGACCACUCAUCAAGGGUGCAUGACCAUAAAAGAUAUUACUCAUAUAAAUAGAACAACCAUUAUUCUCUGAUUUAAAUGAAUAACCGUAGCGCAUCAAACAAGAUCCAGAUAUAAUGUUCAUGCUCAACACUGUCACCAAAUAACAAUUAUUUAGGUCUAAAACUAAUCCCGACGGUAGAUGUAGAGGUAGCGUGCCGACAGCGAUCACAUCGACUUUGGAACCAUUUCCCACGCGCAUCGUCACCUCGUCCUUAGCCAAUCUUCGUUUAAUCCGUAGCCCCUGUUUCGAGUUGCAAAUGUGAGCAACAGAACCAGUAUCAAAUACCCAGGCGCUACUACGAGCAUUAGUAAGGUACACAUAAAUAACAUGUAUAUCAAAUAUACCUUUCACUUUGUCAUCCUUCUUAUCCGCCAAAUACUUGUGGCAGUUCCGCUUCCAGUGACCAGUCCCUUUGCAGUAGAAGCAUUCAGUUUCAGGCUUAGGUCCAGACUUGGGCUUCUUCCCGGGAGUAGCAACUUGCUUUCUAUUCUUCUUGAAGUUCCCCUUCUUCCCUUUGCCCUUUUUCUUGAAACUAGUGGUCUUGUUAACCAUCAACACUUGAUGCUCCUUCUUGAUUUCUACCUCCACAGCCUUUAGCAUUGCGAAGAGCUCGGGAAUAGUCUUUUCCAUCCCUUGCAUAUUAUAGUUCAUCACAAAGCCUUUAUAGCUCGGUGGCAGUGAUUGAAGAACUCUGUCAACGACACUAUCAUCAGGAAGAUUAACUCCCAGCUGAGUCAAGUGGUUAUGAUACCCAGACAUUUUGAGUAUAUGUUCACUGACAAAAUAUCGAAUGAAUACCAAAUUCACAUGACUACUUAUAACAAGACUUCUCACAUGUUCUCAGGAACAAACGUAACUACUCACAAAUCAUAUUCAUGUUCAUAAUCAAAGGGGUAUUAAUAUGCAUUAAGGAUCUGAACAUAUGAUCUUCCACCGAAUAAACCAACUAGCAUCAACUACAAGGAGUAAUCAACACUACUAGCAACCCACAGGUACCAAUCUGAGGUUUUGAGACAAAGAUCGGAUACAAGAGAUGAACUAGGGUUUGAGAGGAGAUGGUGCUGGUGAAGAUGUUGAUGGAGAUUGACCCCCUCCCGAUGAGGGGAUCAAUGGUGAUGACGAUGGUGACGAUCCCCCCCCCCCCGGAGGGACGUUUCCCCGGCAGAAUAGCUCCACCAGAGCCCUAGAUUGGUUCCGCCUCGAGACGGCGGCGCUUCGUCCCAAAAGCUUCCUCCUUAUUUUUUCCAGGGCGAAAGACUUCAUAUAGCAAAAGAUGGGCACCGGAGGCCUGCCAGGGGGCCCACGAGGCAGGGGGCGCGCCCAGGGGGUAGGGCGCGCCCCCCACCCUCAUGGCCGGGGUGUGGGGCCCCUCUGGUUGAUUCUUUCGCCAGUAUUUUUUAUUAAUUCCAAAAAGUACCUCUGUGCAGUUUCAUGACUUUUGGAGUUGUGCAGAAUAGGUCUCUAAUAUUUUCUCCUUUUCCAGCCCAGAAUCCCAACUGCCGGCAUUUUCCCUCUUCAUGUAAACCUUGUAAAAUAAGAGAGAAAAGGCAUAAGUAUUGUAACAUAAUGUGUAGUAACAGCCCAUAAUGCAAUAAAUAUCGAUAUAAAAGCAUGAUGCAAAAUGGACGUAUCAUACGUGGCUGCUACGGGCUUCUAGAAAGAACCGUUCUUACCUAUGCAUCAAAACCACAACGAUUUUUCGUCAAGUGUGCUAUUUUAACCUUCAACAAGGACCGGCCGUAGUCAAACUUGAUUCAACUAAAGUUGGAGAAACAGACACCCGCUAGCCACCUGUGUGCGAAGCACGUCGGUAGAAUCAGUCUCAUAAACGCGGUCAUGUAAUGUCGGUCCGGGCCGCUUCAUCCAACAAUACCGCUGAAUCAAAGUAAGACGUUUGGUAAGCAUUAUGACUGUUAUCGCCCACAACUCACUGUGUUCUGCUCGUGCAUAUAUCAUCUACGCAUAGACCUGGCUCGGAUGCCACUAAUGGGGAACGUAGUAAUUCAAAAAAAUUCCUACGAUCACGCAAGAUCUAUCUAGGAGAUGCAUAGCAACGAGAGGGGAGAGUGUGUCCACGUACCCUUGUAGACCGAAAGCGCAAGCGUUUAGUAACGCGGAUGAUGUAGUCGAACGUCUUCACGAUCCAACAGAUCCAAGUACCGAACGUACGACACCUUCGUGUUCAACACACAUUCAGCACGAUGACGUCCCUCGAGCUCUUGAUCCAAUUGAGGACGAGGGAGAGUUUCGUCGGCACGACGGCGUGGCGACGGUGAUGACAAGUUACCAGCGCAGGGCUUCGCCUAAGCACUACGACGAUAUUACCGAGGUGUUAAACAGUGGAGGGGGGCACCGCACACGGCUAAGAGAUUGUCUGUUGUACUUUGGGGUGCCCCCUGGCCAUGUAUAUAAAGGAGGGAGGGAGAGAGGCUGGCGGCCAGGAGGGGCGCGCCAAGGGGGGAGUCCUACUUGGACUCCUGGUCCAAGUAGGAUUCGGCCCCCCCCUUUUCCUUUCUUCCACGGGAGGGAAAGGAAGGAGGGGAGAAGGAGAAGGAAGGAGGGGGCCGUGUCCAAUUCGGUUUGGGCAGGGGGAGGCGCGCGCCACCUCGUGGCCCUUCUUCCCUCUCUCCACUAAAGCCCACUAAGGCCCAUUAACUUCCCCGGGGGUUCCGGUAACCCCUCGGUACUCCGGAAAAAUGCCCGGAUCACUCGGAACCAUUCCGAUGUCUGAAUAUGACCUUCCAAUAUAUGAAUCUUUACCUCUCGACCGUUCGAGACUCCCUGUCAUGUCCGUGAUCUCAUCCGGGACUCCGAACAAACUUCGGUCAUUAAAUCACAUAACUCAUAAUACAAAUCGUCAUUGAACGUUAAGCGUGCGGACCCUACGGGUUCGAGAACUAUGUAGACAUGACCGAGACACAUCUCCGGUCAAUAACCAAUAGCGGAACCUAGAUGCUCAUAUUGGCUCCUACAUAUUCUACGAAGAUCUUUAUCGGUUAAACCGCAUAACAACAUACGUUGUUCCCUUUGUCAUCGGUAUGUUACUUGCCCGAGAUUCGAUCGUCGGUAUCAUCAUACCUAGUUCAAUCUCGUUACCGGCAUGUCUCUUUACUCAUUCCGUAAUGCAUCAUCCCGUAACUAACUCAUUAGUCACAUUGCUUGCAAGGCUUAUAGUGAUGUGCAUUACCGAGAGGGCCCAGAGAUACCUCUCCGAUACACGGAGUGACAAAUCCUAAUCUUGAUCUAUGCCAACCCAACAAACACCUUCGGAAACACCUGUAGAGCAUCUUUAUAAUCACCCAGUUACGUUGUGACGUAUGAUAGCACACAAGGUGUUCCUCCGGUAUUCGGGAGUUGCAUAAUCUCAUAGUCAGAGGAACAUGCAUAAGUCAUGAAGAAAGCAAUAGCAAUAAAACUAAACGAUCAUUAUGCUAAGCUAACAGAUGGGUCUUGUCCAUCACAUCAUUCUCUAAUGAUGUGAUCACGUUCAUCAAAUGACAACACAUGUCUAUGGUUAGGAAACUUAACCAUCUUUGAUUAACGAGCUAGUCUAGUAGAGGCAUACUAGGGACACUCUGUUUUGUCUAUGUAUUCACACAUGUACUAAGUUUCCGGUUAAUACAAUUCUAGCGUGAAUAAUAAACAUUUAUCAUGAUAUAAGGAAAUAUAAAUAACAACUUUAUUAUUGCCUCGAGGGCAUAUUUCCUUCACCGACUCCACCCCAUAUGUCCCAGCAGCAAGGCCAAAAGCGGAAGAGAGCACCAAAGAAGAAAGCCAAUGACGAGCCUCCUACCAAAAAGAAGUUAGCUUACGAUAUGACUGAUGAGGAAACUAGAGCGUUCGUGGCUUCCGAAGUGAAGUCCCAUUUUGCACCGAAAUCGCCCCCGCCCCCAAAGGAGAUAAUACCUACGAAAACCGUAGAGCACUUUGUGGAACUUCUAGAGCGAGCCCCGCCACAUGUGCAGAAUAGGCCAUCAGACUAUGAGCGCUCUAUUAGGAAGUCAUCUCAUGAACAAAUGCAGGAGUCGAGACGUGCAAGUAGUAAUAAAAGUGGGAAACAGUUCCCCAGCUCAGAGAACAUGCAAUGUAAUCGACCCCCCCCCUCAAGGUGAUUACCGAUAAGGUAACCGACGCUGCUAAAAACUUUGGUAUCAGUGUUGAUCAACUCGUAGGCACCGAGGAAUUCCCCAUGGCUGAAUUAGCAUGGAAAUAUGUCCCCGGGAACCCUCUGGUCAGACCUGAGCAGGUCCCGCAGCUAUCAACAGAAAUGUGAAAAUUGCAUGACUGGUACAUGAAAGAAGUAAAGAACGGGCGAUAGAUGCUCAUGGUGAAAGUCAAGGAAGAGCAUUACUUAUAUGAAAAUGAGAUAAUGAUUGAGUUUCCAAAAAAAUUAGUUAUACAAUCAGGAUGCACUCGACAAAUCUAUGGCCAGUUGCUAUUGUCUGUAAGUGAUUUCUUUCUGUAAUUUAAGUCUCUAGCUCAGCUCGUCCAUUGCCUGUAAUUAUCCUCACUAUAUUCUUUUGCACGUUAUUAUGCAGAAUGAAGAUUUUCGAAUGCAAAAGAGAUGGAAUCUAUGACAUUGGGUUCGUUGACCUGUAUAUCAUUAAUGAAAUUAUGAUACAAAACCACGCCAAAGACUCAGAGGAUAACUUGCUAAGGUUUAUGAAGGAACUAAAUAGUUGAACAGAAAUACUAUUUCCUUACAACUUCAAGUGAGUGUUAUUGUCUUGUACUACAAAUUCUAUUUUGCUUACUCGAUGUUAAGUGUAGUUGAUGAGUUAUGCAUGCCUGCUUAUAUAAACGUGUGUGCAGGUUCCACUGGAUCCUGCUAAUCAUUAGAGUUGACGCUGGAACUGUUGAAACCCUGGACUCACUAGGUAAAGACACUCGAGAAUACACCAGCAUGGUUUUGAUGCUUGACAGGUAAUUUCAAUCAUUAUCGCAAUAUAUCGGCCUCUUUCGUUCAUUUCCUGAUAUCAAGUAAUUAAUAACUCCUUUAUUCAUUUUCUUUGUCGGGCAGGGUUUGGAAACGGUUCAUCAAAGAGGUUGCCAGUGAAUGGAAACCGAAGCUGAAACGGCGAUAGACCAAGGUAAUUAAGUAGUACUAGCUAGGUCCGCGCAUCUCUUUAAUUCUAGUUUCAAUACCAUUAUUAUUGUUGAUUAUUAUCUGAUUGAAUUCUAUUCUCGCAAAGUGCAUGAGGCAGCAACAGGGGACUAAUUUAUGUGCAUACUACGUUUGCGAGAACAUUCGCAUGACGACCAAAUGGCGCAGAGAUAAGACAACUUUGGGUAUGUAAACACUAUUCACAAUUUUUUAUGAUGAUCUAAUAUAUACACACAACUAAUAUAUUCGUAUUGAUCUCCUUCUUUAAAAAUGGAAGAGAUGUGGGAGAAGCUCCUACCAGAGAACCGCAUACGAGUAAUUUAAGAGAAAAUUGCGGGAUUUCUGCUUACGAAGGUCAUAUCUGAAAGGGGAGAAUACCAUUGCACCUAAUGCCUGCAUGUAAUGAUCUGCAAAUUGUAGGAGAAAUUGUAUAUACCAAAUUAUGUGUGUGUGUCUAUAUAUGUGUGUGUGUGUGUCAAUAUAUAUAUAUAUAUAUGGUCGUAUGAGAAAUCAUAUGAUAUAUGCAUGGUCGUACAAAAAAUUAUAUUAUAUAUGCAUAACGUGUAGAGUAUGUAGUAGUGUAAAAUAUAUUUGAAAUAAAAAAGAAUUGAAUGGAAAACACAAAAUAAGAAGGAAAAAUAAACCAUUAACCCCACACUAAAGGUCCUUCAGCCCCCGGCGCUAGCUCGCAGCCACGUGGAGGGGCCUUAGUCCCGGUUCACCAACCGGGACUAAAGGUCCUCCAGCCUCCGGCGCGUGCUCGCAGCCACGUGGAGGGAUUUUAGUCCCGGGUUAUGGCCAACUAGGACUAAAGGGUGGGGACAUUUAGUCCCAUUUUCGUUGUCCCGGUUGGUGACCCGGGAUUAAAGACCGUUCCCAACCGGAACUAAAUCCCCGUUCGAAUGAUUUUGUUACAUCUGAUUACAAAUGUUCACUGGAUGAUUGAAUUUGUCUUGACAAAAAAAAGAGAGAGAGAGAUCGGACUGACUGGUCUCUUGUUUUGUCAGAUCAGAUGAUUUCGCAAUAUCUGAUUUGUAAAUAUUCACUACUAGACGACUGAACUUGUCUUUAGAUAGAACUACUACUAAAGUACUUAUGAUUCUGUGUGUUGCCAUGCUGUAUAGAAUUAUAAGAACGAUUGGUCCUGGCUGAAAAUGAAAUAGUUGGUCUUGCAACCUGAUCCGACUAGAUGAUUCUGUGUUGCCAUGCCGACACGUGUCCCAUGAAAAAAAUACUAGUAAGCAUUGCAAAGGUGCAACAACGUAUGAGAGUUUCCUCGAUACUAGUGUCUUUUUUUCGGAGAACAACUAGUGCCACGUAAAAUCUGAAGAAUGUUUGAUCACAUCUAAGAUUUCUGUUUAAAGAGAUCCCAAGAAGAAACAGAAGCUCACCCGCAAAAGAAAAAAACACCCGCAAAAAAAAAACAGAAGCUCUUGGUAACUUGCUAGGCUGGAACUGCUAGCUAGUCCAGUUUUGUUUCGCCAUAGAUUGAUCAUGUGUGUUUUACGAGUUCACAUACUGCUGAUACGUACUCUAAAGUAGAAUGCGCCUUCAUACGAAUAUGUAUACGUCGCAUAUCCAUCGAUCUCAUUUACUAGUAUAGUUUUUUUUAGAAUUCAUUCACUAGUUGCCUGUUUAUCUUACAGAUAACCCUUUCGGUAAUUAAGAGAUUAUAAUUGCUCACCAAAUAAUCUCACACCGACGCCCUCUAUAUAUUUACCUCGCCCCAUGCAACUUUGCAGUGAGCACACAAACACAGCAAACUUCCUUGCAUUUUGCAAGCACUACCACAUAGUCAUGGCCGCCGUGCACGAGAGCUCCGCGGCUCUCCUUGUGCUCUUUUUGUCGCUAAUCCUCUCCUCCACGACGUCUUCGGCGCGCCACAUGCCUGGCGACCCAUUGCCAGUCAUCCCUUCUCCACCGCCCCGCGUCCACAUGCCUAGUGACCCAACGCCGGUCAUCUCCUUCCCACCGCCUCGUGACCACAUGCCUGGCGACCCACCAUCGGUCAUCCCCUCCCCACCGUCCCACAACUCCGUCGACAUCAUGCGUGGCGAUGUCAUCCCUUCCCCUCCGUCUUACAUGCCUGACGACCUAGUACCAGGUGUCCCUCUCCCGCUACCAAACCUUUCUCUACCCCCGCUUCCAAACCUACCUCUACCCCCGUUACCUAAUCUUCCUCUACCUCCGCUUCCAAACCUUCCCNNNNNNNNNNNNNNNNNNNNNNNNNNNNNNNNNNNNNNNNNNNNNNNNNNNNNNNNNNNNNNNNNNNNNNNNNNNNNNNNNNNNNNNNNNNNNNNNNNNNNNNNNNNNNNNNNNNNNNNNNNNNNNNNNNNNNNNNNNNNNNNNNNNNNNNNNNNNNNNNNNNNNNNNNNNNNNNNNNNNNNNNNNNNNNNNNNNNNNNNNNNNNNNNNNNNNNNNNNNNNNNNNNNNNNNNNNNNNNNNNNNNNNNNNNNNNNNNNNNNNNNNNNNNNNNNNNNNNNNNNNNNNNNNNNNNNNNNNNNNNNNNNNNNNNNNNNNNNNNNNNNNNNNNNNNNNNNNNNNNNNNNNNNNNNNNNNNNNNNNNNNNNNNNNNNNNNNNNNNNNNNNNNNNNNNNNNNNNNNNNNNNNNNNGGAAGGCCCCAUGGCAGUGCCGAGGCCAGUUCCUUCUGGGCCGGACCCCAUACAUCAUCCCCGACCGCCUUCAUCGAUGGACGAGGCGAUGGAAGGCCCCAUGGCAGUGCCGAGGCCAGUUCCUUCUGGGCUGGACCCCAUACAUCAUCCCCGACCGCCUUCAUCGACGGACGAGGCGAUGGAAGGCCUCAUAGUGGCACCCAUGUCGGUUCCUUCCGGACUAGACGCCAUACAUCAUGAAACUCCCGCCCUGGCGCCGCAUCCCCACCAUCAUCAUCGGCGUCAUGUCCUGCCACUGGCUCCAUCUCAGGCAUGAUGGUUGCCCCACUGGCGACACCUACACCUUUUACAUUUAGUUACACCGGAAUCACUAGCGGAAUAAGGGAUGGAUUACUACACCUAGUUAAACAUGUGGCAUGUAACAUGGAUUGUUAGUUAUCUGUGAUGCAUUGCAUUGAAUUCCAUUAUAUUCCGGUAUGGCUGGACAAUAAAGUGAUAACUUAACAUGCAAGGUGCGUUUACUAUACCCCUCACUAUCCUAGAGUACAACACCAUUCUAGCCGUCAGUUUGAUCUGAUGUGUGGGACGGGAGGAGGAUUGCUAUGAUAUAA
rnacentral:lncRNA from 1 species